AAAGUGGCCUAUGCCACAGCCAUGGAUUGGUUUAUUGCAGUGUGUUAUGCCUUU
rfam:Monodelphis domestica cont3.012716, whole genome shotgun sequence.